rnacentral:lncRNA from 1 species
AGAAUGUCCUGUAUCAUUUUAAUGACUGUGGAGUGUGACUUUGUUCUCAGCACAAUGAGUAACAAAGCCAAAACACUGGAGAAUACGUUUACGUAUUCAAGAAAACCUCAGACAGGGAAGAAUGCUUUCAUAAUACAGUACAUUAAAAUCAGACGAAGCCUCGAAGGGCAGAAUCACCGACCCUGAAAAAUCAGAGUGUACUACAGAAGAAGACAACAGCGUUUGAGCACAUUUGUUGAAGCAGCCUCCUCUCCCUUAUGGUAUGAUAAUCCCACACUGUUUUACCAUGCUCUCUGGCCUUCCCGGAACAUCAAUAAAAACUGCAUCCC